rnacentral:tRNA from 1 species
UGGCUCAGAGGUUAAAGCGUCUGCCUGGAAUGCAGGAAACCCAGGUUCGAUCCCUGG